rnacentral:tRNA from 1 species
GCCGGGGUGGCGAAAUGGUAGACGCAGGGGACUUAAAAUCCUCUGGGGCUAACGCCCCGUGUGGGUUCGAAUCCCACCCCCGGCA